GACCACGUAGCUCAGUUGGCAGAGCAUUGGACUAGUAUUCCAAAGGUUGUAGGUUCAAUUCCCACCAUGGUUA
rnacentral:tRNA from 1 species